CUUCAUCUGUGGCCUUAAAAUGUAUUGAUCGAAUUCCAUCUUCAUAGGUAUAGGCAUCUACUUGUGCUGAGCUGAAUGUGGCAGAUACCUUAGCACUUGAGGUGUCUUUACUCUGCAUGGUUGAGAAAACUAGAUCAUCACUACCUGCAUACGCCUUCUCGUGUCAGAGUGAAGCUCAAGGAAACUCCUCGCGGUCAUUGAUCCCUGAAGAACACUUGAAGACAAACCCUAUUGGAUAAAGGUGGUGGAUUUUUAGCUUUUCUUCUUCCACUUC
rnacentral:lncRNA from 10 species